rnacentral:tRNA from 1 species
CCUUCGAUAGCUCAGCUGGUAGAGCGGAGGACUGUAGCUAACUCCCCGUUAGAAGACAUCCUUAGGUCGCUGGUUCGACUCCGGCUCGAAGGA